rnacentral:rRNA from 1 species
AGCGAACGCUGGCGGCAGGCCUAACACAUGCAAGUCGAACGAACCCUUCGGGGUUAGUGGCGGACGGGUGAGUAACACGUGGGAACGUGCCUUUAGGUUCGGAAUAACUCAGGGAAACUUGUGCUAAUACCGAAUGUGCCCUUCGGGGGAAAGAUUUAUCGCCUUUAGAGCGGCCCGCGUCUGAUUAGCUAGUUGGUGGGGUAAUGGCUCACCAAGGCGACGAUCGGUAGCUGGUCUGAGAGGAUGACCAGCCACAUUGGGACUGAGACACGGCCCAAACUCCUACGGGAGGCAGCAGUGGGGAAUCUUGCGCAAUGGGCGAAAGCCUGACGCAGCCAUGCCGCGUGUAUGAUGAAGGUCUUAGGAUUGUAAAAUACUUUCACCGGUGAAGAUAAUGACUGUAGCCGGAGAAGAAGCCCCGGCUAACUUCGUGCCAGCAGCCGCCGUAAGAC